rnacentral:rRNA from 1 species
AUGUGUAUGACAAGUUCUUGCAAUUGUUGCAGUACUCUCAUGAUGUACCAUGCUAAGAAGUUUUCUGUGCCCUUUGCACCACAGAGGGCUCAGAAUAGUGAGCAUGUGAGUAAUAUUGGAGCUUUCGGUGGAUCCAACAUAAGCAACCCUGCCAAUCCUGUAGGGAGUGGGAAACAACGUCUAAGAUGGACCUCUGAUCUUCAUAGUCGUUUUGUGGAUGCAAUCGCCCAACUUGGUGGACCAGAUAGAGCAACACCUAAAGGAGUACUGACUGUAAUGGGUGUACCGGGGAUUACAAUUUAUCACGUGAAGAGCCAUUUGCAGAAGUAUCGCCUUGCAAAGUACAUACCAGAAUCGCCUGCUGAAGCUUGUGUAGGUUCCAAGGACGAAAAGAAGGAUUCUAGUGAUUCAUUCUCUAAUGCAGAUUCUGCACCGGGUUCACAAAUCAAUGAAGCAUUGAAGAUGCAAAUGGAAGUUCAGAAGCGGCUCCAUGAACAACUCGAGGUUCAAAAGCAGUUGCAGCUGAGAAUCGAAGCACAAGGGAAGUACUUGCAGAUGAUCAUAGAGGAGCAGCAAAAGCUUGGUGGCUCACUUGAAGGUUCUGAGGAGAGGAAGCUUUCACAUUCACCACCUACCUUAGAUGACUACCCUGACAGCAUACAGCCUUCUCCGAAGAAACCACGGUUGGAUGAUCUGUCAACAGACGCGGUCCGGGGUGUUGCACAGCCAGGGUUUGAAUCCCAUCUUGUCGGCCCAUGGGAUCAAGAACUCUGUCCAAAGACCAACAUAUGCGAUCCCGCAUUCCAAGUGGAUGAGUUUAAGGCAAACCCUGGUUUGAGCAAGUCAUAA